UCGUUGGAUUCCAGGAAGUUGUUCUCAGCUAUGACCACAGCCCUGCCCUACUGCAUUUACCUCAAUGGAUUGCCAUGAACUCCCACCAUUUUCUAGAAGGAAAGACCCGUGAUUUUGUAAAGUUUAAGGAGCUGUACUUAUGUGAAGUGUUAUUUUAAGAUGUCUGCUUUAGUUGGGCAUGGUGGUACAUGCCGCCCAUCCCUGCCACCAUGAAGACCAAGGUAAACUGCACAGUAGUAGGAGUGGGACUCUACUGAAUUAUCUACACUCAGUGAGAGUUGCCCUUGGGACCAUGCCAUGAAUCCCUGAACAACCGGCUGGAACUCCAGGUCUUGUCUAGUUUCUAGAAUAUAAAUAAACUAGCCUUCUUCCUGGUCCUCAUAAA